AAACUACUUCCUCCGUUUCAUAAUUCUUGUCGAAAUAUUACAUGUAUCUAGACACUUUUUAAGAAUAAAUACAUCCAUAUUUGCGCAAAUUUGAGACAAGAAUUAUGGAACGGAGGAAGUAUCCA
rnacentral:pre_miRNA from 1 species